rnacentral:rRNA from 1 species
AUAGCUUGACACUGAACAUUGAGCCUUGAUGUGUAGGAUAGGUGGGAGGCUUUGAAGUGUGGACGCCAGUCUGCAUGGAGCCGACCUUGAAAUACCACCCUUUAAUGUUUGAUGUUCUAACGUGGACCCGUAAUCCGGGUUGCGGACAGUGUCUGGUGGGUAGUUUGACUGGGGCGGUCUCCUCCUAAAGAGUAACGGAGGAGCACGAAGGUUGGCUAAUCCUGGUCGGACAUCAGGAGGUUAGUGCAAUGGCAUAAGCCAGCUUGACUGCGAGCGUGACGGCGCGAGCAGGUGCGAAAGCAGGUCAUAGUGAUCCGGUGGUUCUGAAUGGAAGGGCCAUCGCUCAACGGAUAAAAGGUACUCCGGGGAUAACAGGCUGAUACCGCCCAAGAGUUCAUAUCGACGGCGGUGUUUGGCACCUCGAUGUCGGCUCAUCACAUCCUGGGGCUGAAGUAGGUCCCAAGGGUAUGGCUGUUCGCCAUUUAAAGUGGUACGCGAGCUGGGUUUAGAACGUCGUGAGACAGUUCGGUCCCUAUCUGCCGUGGGCGCUGGAGAACUGAGGGGGGCUGCUCCUAGUACGAGAGGACCGGAGUGGACGCAUCACUGGUGUUCGGGUUGUCAUGCCAAUGGCACUGCCCGGUAGCUAAAUGCGGAAGAGAUAAGUGCUGAAAGCAUCUAAGCACGAAACUUGCCCCGAGAUGAGUUCUCCCUGAGACUUAGAGUCUCCUGAAGGAACGUUGAAGACGACGACGUUGAUAGGCCGGGUGUGUAAGCGCAGCGAUGCGUUGAGCUAACCGGUACUAAUGAACCGUGAGGCUUAACCUUACAACGCCGAAG